CAAGUAUAAGCUUCAUAUCCUCUGGCUGGGAAAAGUUGACUGGGUAGUGGCAAAUGCCUCCCACUGCUUUAAAAGCAGUGGGGAAGAACCAUACUUCAGCGAUCUCAAAUAUUGUAACAUCACACUUGUAAUUGCUGAUAGUUCUAAGAUUGGAGGAAGAAGGUGCCAUAAGGGUGAUCUAAAAGGAUCAGAUACCCUGUGGGGGGCUUUCAGAGUCUAGCCGCUCCAUCUGGUUGGAAGUUCCAAUGAGAAUGGCAUGCUCUAAGUAACCACCUCGAUUAUAAUGUAAAGAAUAACGCAUGGGCCUUUCCAAACAUGUCCCCUCAUGGAAUUCCAGACCCUUGUAUGAUGUUUGCUAAUAGUAAUCGCAUGCCAAUUUUGGGGCAAACUGGAGACUUCUGGACCAACAGCCCUUGCCACAAAGAUCAUCUGAGACACUGGCCAGGGCAUAUUAUGUUGUUAAUUUUUUGAAACUCCGUUUGUCAGGUGGACCCUUCUAAUUUUUCAUGUAAGAUUCCAAAUGGCAUAUUGUGAAUAACUGUUCUGAGUAUGGAUAUCCCCAUCCUAAAGAUGCUCCUAUUAUACGUAAGGGGGAAAAGCUUCUAAGAUAUAAGAAAGGUCUGUCUGUGUCCUCACAGGUCGCAACUUAGAACCAUCCAUUCAGGGACAGGAUUAUAUUUCCAUUGUGGCUCUUAGCUACACUUAAUCCUCGCUAGGCACUGGAAAGGAACCUAUACUACAGUAGCAGUGGUCCCCAACCUAUUACUUUUAAAUUCCACUGACAAGGAUGCAUCACCUAGGGACAACCCAAAUCUAGGUUCCUUUUUAGAAAAUGCACUAUCUCAGAUACACGAAACAAAGAGAUUUAUCAUUUCCAUGCCAUCAUAUGGAGAUUUAACCAAAAGAGAAAACUGGGGAGGGCAUGCACAUGACAAUCCCAUCUUAGAAAGAUCAUGGAUGGGAAAUUCUAUAAUAAGAGGCCUCUUCAGGUUUGCUGGUAUUUCUCUGAAAGGUCAGUACUUAAUAUAUUCAUUAUGAUGUACUGAGGAUGGAAGGCAACAGUAGGAUCCAUAGAAGUACAACAACAAUCCAUAGACUCUUUAGCCUCAGUAGUAGCACAGAAUAGAUGAGCCCUGGAUAUUCUUACAGCCGAGGUAGGGGGUGCCUGCUCAGUCUUAAAUGAAACAUGCUGCUUCCAGAUCAACACCUCCAGUCAAGUAGAAGAAAACCUACAGGUCCUUAAAGAUCAAGUUAAAAUCGUUAACAGGUUAAGAGAAAAUGCAGACUCCAACCCUGGAUGGCUACAAUUCCUCUUUAAUGAAUUUCAGUCUUCUUUGUGGAACUGAUUAGCUCCAUUAUUAAGUCCUCUCUUGCUCAUAUGUUUUAUAUUAAUGUUUGAACCUUGUCUACUCAAUAUUGUAACUCAAAUUGUUUCCUCUCACCUAGAAGCAAUGAAACUUAAAAUGGCGCUGCAGACUGAACCAGGCAUGGACACACCAUUUUUCUGAGGACCCUUGAAUUGACCCCAAGAGGAGCCCUAGCUGCUGUUCCCUGCAUGAUGCCCAUUUUCAGCAGGAAGUAUCCAGAAAGAGUCAUUGCCCAACAACCCCUAACAACAGUUACGGUGACCACUUCAGAGGGUGGAAUGAUAUAGGACUUAAGAAGAUAGUACGGGUAUGAGAGUCCUGGGUUAGGCCGAUCUUGCCACCAGUCUUCUCAUCCUUGUUCCUCUGGAUGGUGAAGUUACUUUUCAAGUCCAAUCACAGUCUAUGUGCUGGCUUCCUUUUCCCCUCCGGCCGUGAUUGUAAGUUUCC